UACGAAGGGUGCAAGCGUUACUCGGAAUUACUGGGCGUAAAGCGUGCGUAGGUGGUUCGUUAAGUCUGAUGUGAAAGCCCUGGGCUCAACCUGGGAAUGGCAUUGGAAACUGGCGACCUAGAGUGCGGUAGAUGGUAGUGGAAUUCCCGGUGUAGCAGUGAAAUGCGUAGAGAUCGGGAGGAACAUCCGUGGCGAAGGCGACUACCUGGACCAGCACUGACACUGAGGCACGAAAGCGUGGGGAGCAAACAGG
rnacentral:rRNA from 1 species